rnacentral:rRNA from 1 species
CUACGGGUCGCUGCAGUGGGGAAUAUUGGGCAAUGGGCGCAAGCCUGACCCAGCAACGCCGCGUGAGGGAAGAAGGUCUUCGGAUUGUAAACCUCUGUCCUUGGGGACGAAAAAAAUGACGGUACCCAAGGAGGAAGCUCCGGCUAACUACGUGCCAGCAGCCGCGGUAAUACGUAGGGAGCGAGCGUUGUCCGGAAUUACUGGGCGUAAAGGGUGCGUAGGCGGCAUGGCAAGUCAGAUGUGAAAUACCCAGGCUUAACUUGGGGGGUGCAUUUGAAACUGCUGUGCUUGAGUGCAGGAGAGGAAAGCGGAAUUCCUAGUGUAGCGGUGAAAUGCGUAGAUAUUAGGAAGAACACCAGUGGCGAAGGCGGCUUUCUGGACUGUAACUGACGCUGAGGCACGAAAGCGUGGGGAGCAAACAGGAUUAGAUACCCCAGUAGUC